rnacentral:snRNA from 1 species
UCUCCUUCGGGGACAUCCAGAUAAAAUUGGAACAAUACAUAGAAGAUUAGCAUGGCCCCUGCGCAAGGAUGACACUAUUUUAUUUUAUUUUCCUUCCCUUUUU